rnacentral:tRNA from 1 species
CUUUUAAAGGAUAGUAGUUAUCCAUUGGCCUUAGGAACCAAAAACGU